rnacentral:rRNA from 1 species
UACAGAGGGUGCGAGCGUUGUCCGGAAUCACUGGGCGUAAAGGGCGCGUAGGCGGCCUGGUAAGUAGGGGGUGAAAUCCCUCAGCUUAACUGAGGAAGUGCACUCGAAACUGGCAGUCUUGAGUAUGGAAGAGGGUCGCGGAAUUCCCGGUGUAGAGGUGAAAUUCGUAGAUAUCGGGAGGAACACCAGUGGCGAAGGCGGCGACCUGGGCCAAUACUGACGCUGAGGUGCGAAAGCGUGGGGAGCAAACAGG